rnacentral:rRNA from 1 species
GACGAACGCUGGCGGCGUGCCUAACACAUGCAAGUCGAACGAGAUCCAUGGGAGCUUGCUCCCGGAAGAUCUAGUGGCGAACGGGUGAGUAACACGUGAGAAACCUGCCCUGGAGUGGGGAAUAACUCGGGGAAACUCGAGCUAAUACCGCAUACCCUCGGAUGGUCGCAUGGCCGACCGAGGGAAAAGAUUUAUCGCUCUAGGAGGGUCUCGCGGCCUAUCAGCUAGUUGGUGGGGUAACGGCCUACCAAGGCAACGACGGGUAGCUGGUUUGAGAGAACGAUCAGCCACACUGGGACUGAGACACGGCCCAGACUCCUACGGGAGGCAGCAGUGGGGAAUCUUGCGCAAUGGGCGAAAGCCUGACGCAGCAACGCCGCGUGCGGGAUGACGGCCUUCGUGGUUGUAAACCGCUUCUAGCAGGGACGAAAUGACGGUACCUGCAGAAGAAGACCCGGCUAACUACGUGCCAGCAGCCGCGGUAAU